rnacentral:rRNA from 1 species
AGCUCUGUAAGCGUAUACCAAAGUUGUUGCAGUUAAAACGCUCGUAGUCGGAUUUUGGCGUGUACUUCUGAGACCCCUGAUGGGUGUUGAAGGUUUGUUACCGCCUUUGCGGAGGGGGGUGUGGUGGUGCUUCAUUGUAUCGCUGCAUUUCCGCCGCUGUUUACUGUGAAAAAAUUAGAGUGUUCAAAGCGAGCGAUUGCCAUGAAUACAUUAGCAUGGAAUAAUAGAAUAGGACCUGGUUCUGUUUUAUUGGUUUGUCGGUAUCAGGUAAUGAUUAAGAGGGACGGUCGGGGGCAUUUGUAUUCCAGGGUUAGAGGUGAAAUUCUUAGAUCCUUGGAAGACAAACAGCUGCGAAAGCGUCUGCCAAGGACGUUUUCA